GAUGAAGAACGCAGCGAAAUGCGAUACGUAAUGUAAAUUGCAGAAUUCAGUGAAUCAUCGAGUCUUUGAACGCACAUUGCGCCCCCUGGUAUUCCGGGGGGCAUGCCUGUUCGAGCGUCAUUUCACCACUCAAGCCUCGCUUGGUAUUGGGCAACGCGGUCCGCCGCGUGCCUCAAAUCGACCGGCUGGGUCUUCUGUCCCCUAAGCGUUGUGGAAACUAUUCGCUAAAGGGUGUUCGGGAGGCUACGCCGUAAAACAACCCCAUUUCUAAGGUUGACCUCGGAUCAGGUAGGGAUACCCGCUGAACUUAAGCAUAUCAAUAAGCGGAGGA
rnacentral:misc_RNA from 1 species